UGGGGUGUAGCUCAGUGGCAGAGCUCUUGCCUAGCAUGCAUGAGGCCCUGGGUCUGGUCCCCAGCACUGCAA
rnacentral:tRNA from 1 species